UACGAAGGGGGCUAGCGUUGCUCGGAAUCACUGGGCGUAAAGCGCACGUAGGCGGCUUUUUAAGUCAGGGGUGAAAUCCUGGAGCUCAACUCCAGAACUGCCUUUGAUACUGAGAAGCUUGAGUCCGGGAGAGGUGAGUGGAACUGCGAGUGUAGAGGUGAAAUUCGUAGAUAUUCGCAAGAACACCAGUGGCGAAGGCGGCCCACUGGAUCGGUACUGACGCUGAGGUGCGAAAGCGUGGGGAGCAAACAGG
rnacentral:rRNA from 1 species